UCGGCGCCGAGGCCUCGCGGGGGUCCGCCAAUGAUGCGCCAAGGAACUCCAUGACCUCAUCGGGAGGCUCUCUCACUGGCUGCGGCCGCCGCGCCGGGCCCGCCCCUCCCAUUAGGGCUCGGGAUUUCUGCGUGGGCCCCGCCCCCUAGCGUGAAGGCCUCUUGGGUUUCUAACUGGGUCUGCAAGCUUCGCAGGUUUCUCUUAAAACGCAUUCCCCAGAAGAAAACUUCUUCCUGAGAAAGAUUUGAGUGUUCCUUUCAACCUGCCAAAACACUGGUUUUCUGCGCUGACUUUUCACUGUGGAUGAAUUUCUCAAGCCCGAUCGUAUUGUGCAAUGCUAGUGAUCUUCUCUCCCACAUUUAACCUGGGAAUUAACUGACGUCCAGAAAGGGAAUAGGACUUUCACAAGGUCACACAGCAGCAGCCUUGUUCAUCAAAGUGUGGGUGCUGGAGGUGUGACACACGGAGGACGGCUGACCAGCGUGCUACCAGCACACCCCGGGGUAUUCCACACCAGAGAAAAGGAGGGAACCACAGCCUUCAACACAGCGG